ACGACCUUCGCGAGGGUCCCGUCGCCGACGUCGUCCAUGACGAUGUGGCCGCCGGUGGUGGCGCCGGCGUCGUCGCGCCGGGCGACGAAGUCGCG
rnacentral:tRNA from 1 species